rnacentral:rRNA from 1 species
UACGUAGGGUGCAGGCGUUAAUCGGAAUUACUGGGCGUAAAGCGUGCGUAGUCGGUAUUGAGAGUCGCGGGUGAAAUCCCAGGGCUUAACCCUGGAACUGCCUGCGAGACCUCAGUACUAGAGUGUGAGAGGGGAUAGUGGAAUACCCAGUGUAGCGGUGAAAUGCGUAGAGAUUGGGUGGAACACCGGUGGCGAAGGCGGCUAUCUGGCUCACAACUGACGAUCAGGCACGAAAGCGUGGGGAGCAAACAGG